GACGGAAGGUGCAAGCGUUGCUCGGAAUCACUGGGCGUAAAGGGUGCGUAGGCGGCUUGGUGGGUCUGGUGUGAAAGCCCCGGGCUCAGCCCGGGAAGGGCGCUAGAAACUGCCGAGCUCGAGUGCCGGAGGGGGGAGUGGAAUUCCUGGUGUAGCGGUGAAAUGCGCAGAUAUCAGGAGGAACACCGGUGGCGAAGGCGGGUCUCUGGGCCGAUACUGACGCUGAGGAGCGAAAGCGUGGGGAGCGAACAGG
rnacentral:rRNA from 1 species